CGAGGGGGGCAAAUGUUGUUCGGAAUCACUGGGCGUAAAGGGAGCGUAGGCGGGUUUUAAGUCAGGUGUUAAUCCCGGGGCCCAACCCCGGACCGGCACUUGAAACUGGGAAUCUUGAAUAGUGGAGAGGUCAGUGGAAUUGGGGGUGUAGCGGUGGAAUGCGUAGAGAUCCCCAAGAACACCAGUUGCGAAGGCGGCUGACUGGACACAUAUUGACGCUGAGGCUCGAAAGCAUGGGGAGCAAACAAGAUUAGAUACCCUGGUAGUCCAUGCCAUAAACGAUGAUUACUAGGUUUUGGGCCCGUCAACGGUCCAGAGCCGCAGCUAACGCGUUAAGUAAUCCGCCUGGGGGAGUACGGUCGCAAGACUG
rnacentral:rRNA from 1 species